GGGGCAAUCUCGCUGUAAAGAUUACAAAUUCUUAUGCCUAUUAGAAGACUGCAGUAUCAGAGCUUAAGAAACACAAGGAUCUGGCAAGGGUAUGGACAAACUACCCAAAACAGAAAAAUUAGAGCUGGAAAACGUAUCCUUCCUUUCUUUCUUUCCCAUCUUGAGGAAGCAAUGAAAA